UAUGCAAACAAGGGGAAGAGGCAUUACCGGAGUGAACCCCCAUGGAGCCAGGGAGGUUUCAGUUUGCAAUAAGUGCGUUUGGAGGUGAAAUGGAGGUGGCAGCUUCUGCUGCUGGUUGUGUUGCAGAGCCCUGCCGUGCAUCCUCCCGCGUGUUUAGCCGGCGGAGCCCCGCAGCAGAUGAGAAGAGUGGGCAUAGCACGGGGGGUCUUCUGGGGCUGAGCGCUGCAGACGUGUCAGGUGGAGGGGUUUGAAGUAUGCGUUGAAAGCAGUAAUUGCCCUGGCGUUAGCCUCCAUUAAAAUCAAAAAAAGCAAAGUUAAAUUAUGCCUCACACAUGCUGGAGGAGCGUAGAAGCCUUCACAGGAAGAGCAUCUAAGAGGUUUGGCCUCUUCCCCCUGAAAUAAGCGGCUGAAAUAAGCAUGUUUCUCCAUGAUGUUGAGAAAGAACCUAAUUCUGGGUUUUUCAUGUGCAUUUUUGCUGGCAAAUACAGGAAUCACAGUGUAACAUAAUGCCGGUGACUUGUUAAUAGGGUUUUAGGGAAACAGAAAGACUCUAGCAGUUAGCAGCGGUACCGUCUGCUGUGGAAAUUUCUGUUCUAACUUCUUGCCAGCUGUGGCUUUCCUACGGUGCAAGAUUUACACCUCUGCAAGGUUUGUUCUCACCUGCAUCGCAAUGACUAAGUCUUUGAGUCAUCGAGUGUGGCCUUGGCUGAAAUGAUGGUUGUUUUUUUUUCUUGGUUCAUCUACAAAAGCUUGGAAGCUAAGGCUGUCCACUGUUUUGUAGGGACCCGGCAGCAGCGUGGGGCUUAAGGAAUUUGGCUUUUUGUGGGGUUUUGGGUAGAAAUUUGUGGUUACGCUCAAGCAACCUGUUUUCACGGGGCUGCUGCAUACGUGCAGGUUCCGGCGCUGCACGUGACAGCAGCAAUUGAGCUCCCCGUGGGUUAGAUUGUGGAGUGAUUAAAAAUCCGAAUGAGGCCUUGUGGGGAAAAAUGCAUAUUUGUAAAGUUCACUUUUUUUAAAAAAAAAGCUGCUUUCUUCAGCUGCCUGAAAAAAUCACAGCUCCUGGGCUUGGGAAGGGGCUGCCCUCUGCUCGCACCCUGCUCAUUGUGCUGAGCUGCAGCAGCUGCAGUGCAGUGUCCCAAGGGAUCCCGAGUGGUGGGAGGUGACUGAAAAAGGCCAUUUAUGUGUUUCAAAAUUAUCUAGGAGAUCUGGGUACGAAGCUAGUGGAAGGCGAUACAUGGGAGAUGUCAUUUUUACGGGAAGAGGUGAGAAACAUGAAGUUCAGCAUUCCAAACGGAUUAUUGAAAUCCCAUGGAAAAGGCACUGGCAGUCUGAUUCAGAGCUAAAAAGAGAGUGACUCAAAGCCUUUUAAAAAUUGUUUCCAGUAUAUUUACAUUAAGCCAAACUAAAAUGACUACUUUUUAGCCUGCUUGCCCGCAGAGGGCUUGAAUAUGGUUGGGUUCAUAGUGCUGGAACCCACACCUUUAUUGCAGGGGGAAGUUUUCCCGAGUUUUUCCCGAAGUCCCGGCUUGGUGGGUGCAGCGUGGUGCCUGCGGUGGAGCGUUGCUGAGCCUUUCCCACAUGGUGUCAGCAUCUCUCAGCCAGAGGGCUAAGAGAUUAGUAAGGCCCCUUGGUUUGGGGAUUUACCAGGCUCUAACCAGAGAGCAGAGGUUUGGCUGGGAGCCUUCUCCAAGGAAAAGCCUGGAUUUUCACCUCCUGGGUGACCGAAGGUGAGAGGAGGAGAGCAGCUCGGAGGGAAGGAUGCAGAGGAGGUGGUGUCCCUGCUCCUCAGAACUCACAGCUUUGUGUCCCGCUGGCUGCCGGUUGCUGGUGCUGAUGGCCACAGCCAGAAGGGACCGUGACCGUGGAUGUACCAUAGGUCACUGGGAGGCUGGCUGGGGUGUGGUGGCUUUGCAGGGCUUGGGGCCGUUGUGAGCAUGCCUUCUGUGACCUGCCUUUGCAUAUCGUCGGUAUUUGUUGUUUUCAGGCAGCUUCCCCUUGCAGGAAGGAGAAGGAAGUGUUUGCAUCUUGGUUACUACUCACUGAAGCAUCAUUUCAGAGCGUGUUUCAGGCCAUGUGCCCUGACCGACAAACUCGAUGCGUGUCUGCCUGGUGGGGAAAGACUUUUUUUUGUACUGCCGAUUAUAAAGGGCAUGAAUUUCCAAGCUGAGGAUCACCGUUAACUGCUCAGCAAGGAGAUACCUCCCUCCUUCCCAGAGUGCUGUAAGGAUCUGUAAGGAUCGCCGCUGGCCAGGGUCAGCCAGGAGGUGCCUCGGACCCUCUGCUGCUGCUGCUGCCCCUCUCCCCCUACGCGUGCUUCGCUGUCACUCAUGGGCAACACGUCUGGGACACGCUGGGGUUCGGCUGCUCCUAACGGGACCCGAGGGAGAGAGACUGACCCUCCCCAUGGGACAUUGCCACCGCGGUGGCAGCCAGUGGGCUGUGGACCGGGGAGCUGUCUGCCGGGGGUGCGCUGGCUCAGAUGGCGUCGUGACGUGCUCCCUGCUCAGGAGCAGGUCUCUGGUGUGGGCACAUACCAGGAGCCUGAAGUCCCCAAAGAGGGGCAGCUCCUCUGCAGAACUGCUGUCCCACUAGUGCAUCACCAUCGUGCCCCCUUGGGCGGCAGCGGCACUGGGGCUGGGGCAGCUGCGGCGAGUGGCAGGAGAGCUGUGGUGCUACGGGACGAUGCUCCACCAUCUUCUCAGUUGCAGGGUGAGCCGGCGUGGAGGGCGCACAUCCAGCAGCUGCAGCCCACGUAAUGCCCGAAGCAGGAUGCCCAGCUGAGGAGGCAGCAUCGCAGGGCUCGUGAUGGCAUGGAGACCUUUUCUGUUGUUUGCCAUCUGCUUCAAAACAGUCCCCACGUCUCUGGCUGCAUGCCUGGUGGCUGUUUGUUAGGUUGUGCAGGCAGCACUGGCACGUGAGGGGUUGCUCAUUUGUAGGUGGGGGUGGAGGCCCACCAGAAGCCGCUAGCAAUAAAGACAUUUUGAUGAGUCUUGUCAGGAUCUGGGUACCUGCCAGUUCUGCUGCAGUCCCCCCCCCAAGCCUGGUGGAAGCUGCAUCUGUUGGGGCGCAGCUCUGGGAUGCUCAGCGCCUCUCCCGUGCAGUCGGGUCAGGGAGUUUGAGCAGGAGCGUUGCAGCUACCUGCGGCCCCCUGGCAAGGCAGAUGAGAACCGACUGCAAACGUGUUAACCUCUUCAAAGGCGUCUUGCGCAACUCCCCGUUGAAGAGCAGGGCUGAGCUGCAGAGUGGCAAUUGCUGCUGGCUGUGUUAGUCAUCCAGAGAGAGAGUUGUUUUUCCUUCUCCCCCUCCCCGCCCUGGUGCAGGGGUAGAGGUUCUUGCUCACUACUUGGUGUGGCCAAAACUUAGAAGAAGAAAUGUGUUAUCUCUGAGGGAAUCGGUCAACUCUCCCCUAAAAAUGUGAGCUUCUAUUUGUGCACCUCAGGUGGUGAGAUUUUGCUCCAGCGGGUAUUGAUUUUUGCUGUGAUAGCCCCCCCGAGUCUGCAACCAGUUCUGCUGGGAGACAGAUGCAAAUAUGAACGUGUGUGUGUGUGUGUGUUCACAUCUCCUUCCACAUGGAGUGAUUCCCUGAUAAUAAUGUGCAAAGCUGUGGGUGUACUAAAGAAACCUGCGGGGUUGCGCUACCUGUCCGAGUUACACGGAUCAAGCAGAGAGAGCCGAGGUCUUUAGAGUCAGGAUCCGUGGUGGGGCAGCGUGCUCCUGCAGCAGGGGGCAAGAUUUCCUUUGCUUUUCUUGUAAUUAAAAUUGGUAAACCGGAAUGCCUAUAUUUCUAGACCACAAGAAGGCGUGCGGGAUGGGGAUGGGAGGAAGUCACCAGUGGUACCAGACAAAGGUUUUUUGGAUGUCCAGCUCAGCACCUUCAUUUUCAGACAGUUGGGUGGGAAACAGGUUGCCUGUGUUGGGUGUGCGAGUGUAAAAGCUGGAAGUGUCUCUUGGAAAGGAAGGCUUGAAGGAGUCUUUGGGAAAGGCUCGUGAGUCACUUCUGCUUGUGAAGAUUUUAUUUUUUACUCCCUGGUUAGCUAAGAGUAUUUUACAAGAACCUUUUCCUUCUCUGGAGCAUUCAGCCACUUGGGGUUUGGUCAUUUUGUGCGUAUAAACCAGGACAUGGUCCCAGAGGAGCUCAGCUUUUCAGUUUUACACUGCAGCGUAACCUUCGGGACAGGUGGGGACUGAAAAGUAGCUGCAUUUGUCACUGUCCUCUUGCUGCCCUGGGCUUGCACAGCAGUUCUGGGGUUCUUCAAGCCUUAACAGACACCUACAUGAAAUCCACCUUGUUGCAAAUCCGGUAGAAGUCUCCGCACCCAGGGGAUAGCAGACAAAGUAGUUCCUCUUCCCUGUGUUCUGCCAGGAGGGCGUUUGCUCCACAUCUACAGCCGCUGGGAUCUUACCUCCUCACCUCACGUUGCAUAGCAUGAACAUUUCAUACCAGCUCGCAGGGUAAGGCAGAAAUGAAGUGUCAUGAACCUCAUGAAAGGUCCUGUUGUUCUAAGUGGAAUUUAGACAGCGCUCCUAGAUAAAGAAGAAGGAAUUAGAGUCCGUGGGAGAAGUUCUGGGUUUGGUACAGGGCGAUGUGCACAGGCUCCGAAUCCUGGAAGGCCUUUCGGGCUGGGAAUUAUUUGGUCCUUUCCUGCAGGGUGAUUCUAGUCAUUAGAAUUGACCUUCAAGUCACAGAAAUUUCCCAAUAAAGCACAUAAUUACUCAAGAGUUAGGGUUUUGUGCAACAGUGCUCAUCAGCAAGGAAAGGAAAGUAAAUAUCUGCUUGCUCUCUUAUUUUAGACAAUUGAAUUAAAACCCCCAAAGCAUCAGGAAGGGAAGUUCAGAGUUUCAGUUCCUGCAAGCUGAAGGUUUGCAUGGGUUCAGCAAUGACAAAUACAUGAGAUCAUGCCUAGUUGGGCUCAGCAUCUGCGGUGCGUGCGGUGAAGGUGAACCGAAAGUCUCCAGUACUUGUUAAGACCUGAAGAAGAUUUUUGUAACGAGCUGUGGCAGUGACAGGUGUUGGUUUAAUAUCGAGGAGGUUGGACUCCUGCUUGGUUUGAGGAUGGGUUAUCCUGCCACCUGGAGCUGAGCCUGUGGGUGCUUAAAUACCUGCAAUUUCUGCAAAAUCUAAACACCUGAGGGCUUCUCUUCGUUUUUGGCGAGAGGGUGGGAAGGCUGCCAUGCAUGGGACUAGUAACAGUGCGAGGAACUCCUGUUCCUGCUUUUGGAAAGUGAUAUUUUAGCUCUGGUUUAGUCCUUGGGGAGGAAGCGCAGGAUUGACUCGGGGCACUGCGGAGCAGAGCUGGGGAUACAACCUGUAUUUUUAAAGUCUUGUCCAGGCUUUUCACCACUGGAUCUGACUGGGUUCCCUUUCCCCCACAGUGUCACUACUGGGAACACGCAGACAGCGAAGCUGCCGUGGCCACGUAGCCUUUGGGUGUAAUCGUGCAGUGCUGGUCCGGAGGCUUGUGCCAGCACAAAGGGGCAGCCAAGCAGGAAAAGACCUGAUCACCACAAGGAAGAAACUGCCCGUUUUGGGAAGCAUGUCUACAAAGAACUCAGCAAAACCCCGUGAAGACUCCAUCCCUUUGGAUCUUUUCUGGUUUUAUGGUCAGCCACAUCUGAAGCUAGAGGGUUAUUUGUUAUGUGACAAAUGCUCUUCUCUUUCCCACCCCCCCAAAGUGUACUGCCACCGCAGGGGGGGCUGGAAGGAGGGUGAGGUGGUCCAGCAGCGGCUCGUGCUGCUGUCGUUAAACACAGCGUGAUGCUGUUUAUCUGGUUCAUUUUCUUUAAAGUCCAACUGCAUGUUUUUGUCCCAUCUUAUGUGCCACCAGGAGGCUCUGAGCCGGUCCAGCUGCCUUCUAAUCUAUAAAAAGUCUUUGCUUUUCAAUCUGGCCCGGCCCUUUGAUCUCCUUGCUUUGAGGUCACAAAGCUGCUUGUGAUGAUGCCAACAAGGCGCAGCUGAGGUCUCAGCUGACUUAAGUUUCCCCAGAUCCAUCUUAGGGUGGCUCAGGUAGGGGGGGAGAAAUCUCCUGGUGUGGAGAGAAACCCCAGCGCCAGCCCGUUGGGGGAAGUGGCCCCGGGCAAGGCAGCUCCGCUGAGGAGCCAGGGAGGAGGACCAUGCAAGAACUUCUCCCCCGAGGUCUGACACCUCCACCCCCACAACAGGAAUUGGCGUUAUUUUUCCAUAUAAAAGAAGAUGUGGGGAGAGGAAACCAUAGCCCACUCUCAGCUAUUCUGACAGCUACACUGUGCCACCACCCUUCCUCAUCACCCAUGUGUGGUAUUUUUAGGGUUCGCCUCAUUUAACUCCAGCUCAUUCUUUCUUAGAGUGACAAGGGCUUCCCUCCCGUAGCUACCCAGGUGGCACAUCAAAAACCACAGCUGUGCCAGGAGCAGCUUCACCUCCACCAUCGUAUUCAUCCAUUCGUUCACCAGCUGGUGAUGGGAGGCGGCACCUGGGACAGCAUGAGAAGGGAGAGGACAAACCAGAGCCUGCUCUGAGGGGGUGGGUGGAUGGAUGGAUGGAUGGGUGGGUGGAUGGAUGCAGCUGCACUUAGUGAGGCCUCAUUCCACUUUUCCUUCCCCCUACUUCCAGUUUACCUCCAGCCCAGAUCCCUUUGGUACUGUGGGCUUUUAAGCCAAAAGACACAUUAGCACACGUGCAUUGAUAAAGAACUGGCAGGGAAGGGGAAGCAAUUAGCAGCGAUACUUUAUUUGGAGCAAUGAGGAGUCCAGGGCUUCUAAGCAAUGAAGAGGUUUCCCACGGUGACUUGGAGAAGGGAUGGCAGGACCCACCUGGAGUCCCCAUGGCUGGGACGAGGUGGUAGAUGUCUCUUCUGCUUUGCGUGUAGUUUAUUGCAGACCAGCAGCUCCUUUCUGUAGUGAGGGCUGGGCUUUUUUAAUUGACUUUUGAAAGAAGAUUGAAACCUGAGAUUGGUCCCAGUCCCCUAGUGAUUGGUUCCAGUCCCUUAGUGAAAUGUAAAAGGAGGCUUCUUUCUCUGUCUUGCUGGUGAAAGGUACUAAAAUGGGUUAAAUCCAUCCUAGAAAUGCACCUCUCUUCCUGUAGCAGGUUCUGUGUGCUUUGGCCGGGGUAUUUGUGAUGUAAGGUGUGACCUCGGAGGAUUGCUUGGUGGGCUGAGUUUUUACUUGUUUAAAUUAGGGUUGCAAGUUGGAGUCUCCCGUUUUCUUAAAAUUUGGGAUCUUUCCUGUUGAAAAGCUUGGCUCAGGGUCAACUCGGAGAAGCACAGGGACCUGUUCAGCGUGGUGGUUCUCUGCAGCUCCCUGGUUCUGCUUCUGUACCGCGCGUGCUGCAGUUCCUGCUGCUGUUGCAGCCGCCUGCAUCUCUCACGGCUGAGCAACACGGACUCGGGGCAGUCGUGACUUCUGACCUAGCCGUGGCAAGCGAGACCUAAUGUUUAUUUAAAGACCCUUGUGUUUAGACUGUUAUUCUCUAGAGUUGCGUUGCGGUGCUGUGGUCUUGAGAUGUUCCUUAUCGCUGCUGGAACCUCUGGGCUGGGUGCUGAAACUGGUCUUAAUGCUUUCUCUCUAGGGAGAAACCAUGAGAGAGGCGCGCUGUCUAGCGAAAGCAGAAAUGGUCCUUAGUUUUGGCACUUAACCAUCCAGCUUCAUGUCUCCUGGUUUUCUUGGAGGUUCCUUCCUCUUUGAUUCCAUGGCUGCAAUUCUAAACCACUUUUUGGUAAAGGCUAUUGAACAUCCCUCUUUGCAUAAAUUCACUGGGGAGGUCAGGGAGAAACGGUCUGUGCCCUUGUGGUCCCUGCCUCUACCUUGAGCAAUUUUCCCAGUAAUACGGUAUUUCAUGAUGGACUUCUUACAUUUGAAAGUGAACAAGAAAACGGUACAACAUUUUAUUUCCUAUAUAGGCUUUUCAGUGAUAAGGAGCCAUCAGGUAUAUCCAGUAGUGGAGCAGCGUUAAGGCGGUGGGGUAAAUAGUUAAAAUAAAAGCUACUACUUAAUGUGUUGGUGACUUGUUUACUGUGUAAUUCAUCAACAAUUGAAGUAAACCAGCUCUUUUUCUAUUUAGUUUGGUUUUUUUCUGCAGGGCAGUACUGGUACAAAGGUAGGUUAAUUGACAAACAGCUCUUGACAGGACCAGAAGGAUGUGAUACGAGCUGUUAUGAUACAUACAAAAUAUGUCCUAUGGAGGAAAUACAAUGGAAAAACAACGGUACCUUUUUCUUUUUUU